CANUGGGCGAAGCCUGAUGCANCGACGCCNCGCUGAGCGAAGAAGUAUUUCCCGUAUGUAAAGCUCUAUCAGCAGGGGAAGAUAAUGACNGUACCUGACUAAGAAGCACCNGCUAAAUACNUGCCAGCAGCCNCGGUAAUACNUAGGGGGCAAGCGUUAUCCNGAUUUACUGGGUGUAAAGGGAGCNUAGACNGUGUGGCAAGUCUGAUGUGAAAGGCAUGGGCUCNACCUGUGGACUGCAUUGGAAACUGUCAUACUUGAGUGCCGGAGGGGUAAGCGGAAUUCCUAGUGUAGCGGUGAAAUGCGUANAUAUUAGGAGGAACACCAGUGGCGAAGGCGGCUUACUGGACGGUAACUGACGUUGAGGCUCNAAAGCGUGGGGAGCAAACAGGAUUAGAUACCCUGGUAGUCCCAAGGGCGAAUUC
rnacentral:rRNA from 1 species